CAUUCCCUCUCUCCCAGCCAUGUACCUUCCUUCCUGUCAUCCAUGACGCCACCUCUGGUUGUGCUCUAGCCCCUCUUGUCAUUUGCAAGUCACCAGCUUCUUUCUUGUGAUUGUCGAAGUGUCGUCUGUCGCCAUCCCCUCUCCUCUGCUCAUCAGUCGCCAGCCCACGGUCCCUCGUUGUUGUCUGUAGAGUGGUCCAUCGUGGUUGUCUUUCAAAGCCCCAAACCUAUCACCGUUCGUCUCGUCAUUCUCUAAGCCUCAAACCAAACCCUAGAUUCGCCAAUCGCUAGCAUCCACGGGCCCUGUUCUGUCGCUAUUCGCCUGGGGUCCAUCGUCGUGGUCAUCGCAAGGUUGUCGUCGUGGUGAUCAUCGCUAGGUUGCCGUCAUCCAUCGCAUUCAACUGCUAUUCCUCAAACUUUGUUCACUUCCAUCACUUAGCAAAGAAAGAUGAACACUGAAGAACAGAAAAUUUAAUGUAAACUCAUGAAGAAAAAGAAGGGAUAGCUUGAAAGUUAUGAAGAUCCAAACUUGUGUGCUCACUUCUUGAUUCAAUCUCUGGCUGUUUACCCUUUUAAUAAAGGAGUAAAGUUUUUAAAGCUUGAAACUUGGCUUGAACAGUUGACUUUUUCUUCCCCAAAUACAGCAGCAGCGCCGCAUAAGAGAGAUGGGACUGUAGCAGUGAUUAAAGUUUACGUACAUCCUUAUUAAGAUGUUUCUCUUUUAUCGUUUUUCGAUUUUCUUCAAUAAUCUGAGCUAUUUAUCAAUGUUUUGGCUCCAAGUUUCAUUCUUGACCCUUAAUUUAUAGUAGAGCUUCAUAACCUUCAAUUUCUUCAA